UACGUAGGUGGCAAGCGUUGUCCGGAAUUAUUGGGCGUAAAGGGCGCGUAGGCGGCCACGUAAGUCGAAUGUGAAAGCCCAGGGCUCAACCUUGGAAGUGCAUCCGAAACUGUGUGGCUUGAAUCUCGGAGAGGGUGGUGGAAUUCCCAGUGUAGAGGUGAAAUUCGUAGAUAUUGGGAGGAACACCGGUGGCGAAGGCGACCGCCUGGACGAAGAUUGACGCUGAGGCGCGAGAGCGUGGGGAGCAAACAGG
rnacentral:rRNA from 1 species